rnacentral:rRNA from 1 species
AUUGAACGCUGGCGGCAUGCCUUACACAUGCAAGUCGAACGGCAGCACGGGAGCAAUCCUGGUGGCGAGUGGCGAACGGGUGAGUAAUAUAUCGGAACGUGCCCAGUCGUGGGGAUAACGUAGCGAAAGCUACGCUAAUACCGCAUACGAUCUAUGGAUGAAAGCGGGGGAUCGCAGGACCUCGCGCGAUUGGAGCGGCCGAUAUCAGAUUAGGUAGUUGGUGAGGUAAAGGCUCACCAAGCCGACGAUCUGUAGCUGGUCUGAGAGGACGACCAGCCACACUGGGACUGAGACACGGCCCAGACUCCUACGGAGGCAGCAGUGGGGAAUUUUUGGACAAUGGGCGCAAGCCUGAUCCAGCAAUGCCGCGUGCAGGAUGACGGUCCUAUGGAUUGUAAACUGCUUUUAUACAGGAAGAAACACUCCCUCGUGAGGGAGCUUGACGGUACUGUAAGAAUAAGGAUCGGCUAAC